rnacentral:rRNA from 1 species
GAUGAACGCUGGCGGCGUGCCUAAUACAUGCAAGUCGAGCGAACGGACGAGAAGCUUGCUUCACUGAUGUUAGCGGCGGACGGGUGAGUAACACGUGGAUAACCUACCUAUAAGACUGGGAUAACUUCGGGAAACCGGAGCUAAUACCGGAUGAUAUUUUGAACCGCAUGGUUCAAAAGUGAAAGACGGUCUUGCUGUCACUUAUAGAUUGAUCCGCGCUGCAUUAGCUAGUUGGUAAGGUAACGGCUUACCAAGGCAACGAGGCAUAGCCGACCUGAGAGGGUGAUCGGCCACACUGGAACUGAGACACGGUCCAGACUCCUACGGGAGGCAGCAGUAGGGAAUCUUGCGCAAUGGGCGAAAGCCUGACGGAGCAACGCCGCGUGAGGGAUGAAGGUCUUCGGAUCGUAAAACGCUGUUAUUAGGGAAGAACAUAUGUGUAAGUAACUGUGCACAUCUUGACGGUACCUAAUCAGAAAGCCACGGCUAACUACGUG